GUGCUCCUCCUGCAGCGGACGGAAGAUGCUGGGCCACGCAAGUUUCCCUGGGCUUGGUUAACCACCCCAAAGCCCAUUUCCAGAAGGAAAGGGUGUUGAGGAGGAGGGAUAGAAAGUCGAGAAGAGGGCCGGGUGAGUGGCUCACGCCUGUCAUCCCAGCACUUUGGGAGGCCGAGACAGGCGGAUCACCUGAGGUCAGGACUUAGAGACCAGCCUGGCCUACAUGGUGAAACCCCGUCUCUACUAAAAAUACAAAAAUUAGCCGGGUGUGGUGCCGUGCGCCUGUAGUCCCAGCAACUCGGGAGGCUGAGGUAGGAGAAUCGCUUGAACCCGGGAGUCGGAGGUUGCAGUGCUGAGAUGGCACCUGGCCUGGGCGGCAAGAGCGAAACUCCAUCUCAAAAAAAAAAAGAAGAGGAAAUGAGGCAUAGGGGCAGGCGAGCCGGGAAAAUAUUGCUACUAAGGAUCCUAAGCAGUGAACAUGCUGUUAAUACUUAGAUGAGAUCUUGCUCUGUCACCCAGACUGGAGUGCAGUGGCACGAUCAUAGCUCACUGCACCCUCAAACUCCUGGACUCAA
rnacentral:lncRNA from 1 species